rnacentral:rRNA from 1 species
AAAUGAAUUGACGGGGACCCGCACAAGCAGUGGAGUAUGUGGUUUAAUUCGAAGCAACGCGAAGAACCUUACCAGGUCUUGACAUCCCUCUGAAUGUCCUAGAGAUAGGGCAGGCCUACGGGACAGAGGAGACAGGUGGUGCAUGGUUGUCGUCAGCUCGUGUCGUGAGAUGUUGGGUUAAGUCCCGCAACGAGCGCAACCCUUGAGCUUAGUUGCCAGCGAGUGAAGUCGGGCACUCUAGGCUGACUGCCGGUGACAAACCGGAGGAAGGUGGGGAUGACGUCAAAUCAUCAUGCCCCUUAUGACCUGGGCUACACACGUACUACAAUGGCCGGUACAACGGGCAGCGAAGGAGCGAUCCGGAGCGAAUCCAAACAAAGCCGGUCUCAGUUCGGAUUGCAGGCUGCAACUCGCCUGCAUGAAGUCGGAAUUGCUAGUAAUCGCGGAUCAGCAUGCCGCGGUGAAUACGUUCCCGGGUCUUGUACACACCGCCCGU